rnacentral:rRNA from 1 species
GCAUAUCAAUAAGCGGAGGAAAAGAAACCAACAGGGAUUGCCUCAGUAACGGCGAGUGAAGCGGCAACAGCUCAAAUUUGAAAUCUGGCCUCUUCGGGGUCCGAGUUGUAAUUUGUAGAGGAUGUUUCGGGUACCGCCUCGGUCUAAAUUUCUUGGAACAGAAUGUCAAAGAGGGUGAGAAUCCCGUCUUGGAUCGGCGGUAGGGCCCAUGUGAAACUCCUUCGACGAGUCGAGUUGUUUGGGAAUGCAGCUCAAAAUGGGUGGUAUAUUUCAUCUAAAGCUAAAUAUUGGCCAGAGACCGAUAGCGCACAAGUAGAGUGAUCGAAAGAUGAAAAGCACUUUGAAAAGAGAGUUAAACAGUAUGUGAAAUUGUUGAAAGGGAAGCGCUUGCAACCAGACUUGCGCGCGGCGGUUCCCCCUUCCUUUUGGCUGGGUUAUUCCGCCGUGUCCAGGCCAACAUCGGUUCUGGGGGUCGGUUAAAGGCUCUGGGAAUGUAUCUACCCUUCGGGCGUAGACUUAUAGCCCAGGGUGUCAUGCGGCCUCCCGGGACCGAGGAACGCGCUUCGGCUCGGAUGUUGGCGUAAUGGUUGUCAGCGACCCGUCUUGAAACACGGACCAAGGAGUCUAACAUCUAUGCGAGUGUUUGGGUGUCAAACCCGGAACGCGAAAUGAAAGUGAACGGAGGUAGGAAGCUUCGGCUGCACUAUCGACCGAUCCUGAUGUCUUCGGAUGGAUUUGAGUAAGAGCAUAGCUGUUGGGACCCGAAAGAUGGUGAACUAUGCCUGAAUAGGGUGAAGCCAGAGGAAACUCUGGUGGAGGCUCGCAGCGGUUCUGACGUGCAAAUCGAUCGUCAAAUUUAGGUAUAGGGGCGAAAGACUAAUCGAACCAUCUGGUAGCUGGUUCCUGCCGA